AUACAAUUGACGAGUCCCAAAUAGGACGAAAUGCACAUCGAGGUGGAU
rnacentral:hammerhead_ribozyme from 1 species